rnacentral:rRNA from 1 species
UACGAACCGUCCAAACGUUAUUCGGAAUUAUUGGGCUUAAAGGGUAUGUAGGCGGCGCUGUUAGUCGGGUGUGAAAUCCCUCGGCUCAACCGAGGAAUUGCGCCCGAAACUGCAGUGCUUAGGGAGACAGAGGUAAGCGGAACUGAUGGUGGAGCGGUGAAAUGCGUUGAUAUCAUCAGGAACACCGGUGGCGAAAGCGGCUCACUGGAUCGCGGCUGACGCUGAGGCACGAAAGCGAGGGGAGCGAACGGG